UUCAAUCUGUCAGUAUGAUAAUUUCCACACCGUGCUGAUAUUUGCAUGCUUGAUCUUUUGAACCAUCAAAUGAAUUAUGGAGUCCAUAUCAUCCCAAGAAGACCAGUCUUCCAAUGCAAAUGCCAGCUAUUAGUUCUUGUGGGUCGCUCGAGUCAUUUUCUUCAUACAGAACGGGUCCUCUUCGUUCAGUACCAUCUUGUUUCCUUUACCGGUUUAGGAAUGUUGCGAUCUUUGCUGCAGAAUUAGGACAUCUUGAAAAUGAUCUUGGGGUGCUUCAGCUGAUACCAUCUCGUUUCCCUCAGCACCACCGAAACUAGGAAGACUUGUUUAAUGAUUGUUCUUGUUGGGUUUUGCGUGCAGGACAGGAUGUCAUCGUCACUUGUUCUUGUUCCAUAUGCCACUUGAUGAUUCAUGAUAUCUCUGUUGUUGUUACUGCAGGAUAAGUGGAAGACGCUGGUGCACACGGCCAGGAUUUCCCCCCAGCAGAGGAGGGGAGAGCCCGUCCCCCAGGAGCUCUUGGACCGCGUCCUCUCCGCCCAAGCCUUCUGGUCUCAGCAGC
rnacentral:lncRNA from 1 species